UUGAAAACAUGCUGGCUACUUCAUCCGAUUGCCGAGAAGUUGGCAUUGAUCAUUUUUUAACCAUUAGUUAAAAAGGAGCAAGUUGUUGUUCACAGAAAAGUCGGACUGGUAACAAUUACAUGAAGAGGCUUUCCUUCUGAACCAUCUGUAACUUUUUGCCACCCUCUGCACCUACUAAACUCAGCCUCUUCCUAUCAUUACUGGAACUGACCUGGCAUGGAUCAUUGGGUAAGCAGGCAAUCUUAAACACUUCUCAUAUAAAUUACGGGUUCCUUUCCAACUGCAAUUGCUCAGGGUAAUACACCAUUUUACAACUCGAAGCUCAAGAGAUAGCGAAGUCACUGCAUUCUACCCCGGAAACAAAUAGACAAAAGACUAAUGGGGACAGGAGCUACAGGAAAUUUACAAUCUUCUCCAUCAAGAUUACUGAAGGAAUGAUUUGGAACACUCUGGCCUUUCCACCCUGCCUGCUGGGUAGUUUCAAAUAAACUGAAGAUCACAUUUCCACUUGGAGUUUGGGGGAUUCUUCAGCUGAAGGACGUCAAAUGCACGUGUACGUAUACAGAAGUAUAAAAAUGUGAAAGCCUCAUCAUUUUUCUCGGAAAGAACAAUGGGAACCCAUUGGGAUUCAGGAUCUAUUGCUUAAUUUUAUGAUUCAAACAUAUUUAGGGGGAAAUGACAGAUCGUACUUCCACACAGAUGAAAAUCAUCAUUGAAUGUUCAUAUCCACUGGGUAGAUGAUGAGGAUUGGAUUUUCCAAAGGUGAUGGAUUUCCACAAACUCUGACAGUUAGGUGUAUUUUUACAGAGCGUCAACUCUGAUCAGAGCAUGGAGUAUUGCAUUUCCCACUGUGGCUAUGUAAAAUCUGAUAACUUUCUUUGAAGUGAAAUGGUGUCAGUAGUUUUCUGGGUCUGAAUAAGAGGGCAAAGAGUCUGCCUGACCCAAAGUCCAUCCACUGAAAGGUACCGGUCCCCAGAAUUGAUGAUCCAGACGUAUGUUCUUUCCUAAUACACUGCAGUGGAAAAACAGCUUACUAUCUUGUGCAAGUUGCAUCAAAAUUAAAUUUUGUUUUAGCCCA